UUGGGUAACGGAUGGUCUCACCUCGCUUCCAAGGGCUCGCUCGACGACGCUACAGGCCAACCGUCGGCCCGUGGCCUGGCAUCGCUGUCUUUGUACACCGCGCACCGCGCACGUAUGUAGCGCCUCGUUACCGUGCCCAUACUACCAAGUCCGCGCACGAUCGACGCGUCAUAUUACGCAUUUACGCGCCAUUACUCACUGUUUUGAUUAUUCACCAUUAAUUAUUCAUUCGUACUUGAUUAAAUUAUUCACCAUUUUUAUCGUUUAAAUAAAUUGUCACCGACGAUUACGCGUCCGAUCCGAAUCAUUACGUUUGUUUUGUUGUUCAAACCCACACACUCGAGCAUCCUUCUGACGAGAAGGCAGGAUCGUAUUUGUGCAGUCGUGCCAGGCCAACUUCCUUGUCCCCGGCACCCAAGGGAUUCUGCACUUGGACGCCAGGACGCACAUCACUAUUCUACACACAUACACACACGCUCGCGUUUUCGGUACAUACAGCCAGGUACUCCGUCGAACACUUAAACCACGGAAUACCUGGGUAGUCGUGGUCACGUCUGUUGAAGUGUUGUACUGUUGUCUCGUUGUCUGCUGUCACUCGCCGUACACGAUGUAUCUACUCGCACCGCUGAAUCCGCCAUCGACGCCACACAGAGAAUCGCUGCUCCUUCACCGACAUCAUCGCUGCCGCCAUAUUAUACCGUUUACCAGCCGGCAUCCAGACUUGGGACGUUUGGACGAAUUAUAUUGAGAUAACCUAAGGAAGAUAUAAUUCAGUAUGGAAUCAUUAAGAACAUCUGAAGUAAAUUCCAAGUAUGAUAGUAAUAUGCACAGUAUAAUGCACAAUAUAAUGAACAGUUCUAGAGUGCUGACUAUUCCACUUAAUAGAUGUGAUGAUUAAGUAUCCAGUACAGUUAUUAAACAAGAACUUAUUGAUAAUACAGACCAUACAGAUGAGAAUCAAUUAUUAAAAACGGAGUAAGAAUUGUAUAUACUUCAUUGCAUAAUAUAAAAUUUAAUUAUACUAACCUAACUGAUAAAUAAAUUCUUGACAAAACAAUUGAUAGAAAGUAUAAUAAAGCCAAUACAAAUAUGUAAAAACCUAAAGUUCUGCACUUUACUCAUAAUCAUUGGUAUAUAUCUUUCUUUAUCAUUUAUGCAUUCAUGAUUGCAAUCUAGCAUUGCUUACUCUAUUAUCUUUUUUAUUCAUAUCACAUUUUAAUAUGAAAAACAGUUUAAUUUUAUCCAAACGUACA